rnacentral:rRNA from 1 species
GACGAACGCUGGCGGCGUGCUUAACACAUGCAAGUCGAACGGUAAGGCUCCAGCUUGCUGGGGUACACGAGUGGCGAACGGGUGAGUAACACGUGGGUGACCUGCCCUGCACUUCGGGAUAAGCCUGGGAAACUGGGUCUAAUACCGGAUAGGACUGCACCGUGAGGGUGUGGUGGAAAGUUUUUUCGGUGUGGGAUGGGCCCGCGGCCUAUCAGCUUGUUGGUGGGGUAAUGGCCUACCAAGGCGGCGACGGGUAGCCGGCCUGAGAGGGUGGACGGCCACAUUGGGACUGAGACACGGCCCAGACUCCUACGGGAGGCAGCAGUGGGGAAUAUUGCACAAUGGGCGGAAGCCUGAUGCAGCGACGCCGCGUGGGGGAUGACGGCCUUCGGGUUGUAAACUCCUUUCACCAUCGACGAAGGGUUUCUGACGGUAGAUGGAGAAGAAGCACCGGCUAACUACGUGCCAGCAGCCGCGGUAAUACGUAGGGUGCGAGCGUUGUCCGGAAUUACUGGGCGUAAAGAGCUCGUAGGUGGUUUGUCGCGUCGUCUGUGAAAUUCCGGGGCUUAACUCCGGGCGUGCAGGCGAUACGGGCAUAACUUGAGUACUGUAGGGGAGACUGGAAUUCCUGGUGUAGCGGUGAAAUGCGCAGAUAUCAGGAGGAACACCGGUGGCGAAGGCGGGUCUCUGGGCAGUAACUGACGCUGAGGAGCGAAAGCAUGGGGAACGAACAGGAUUAGAUACCCUGGUAGUCCAUGCCGUAAACGGUGGGCGCUAGGUGUGGGUUUCCUUCCACGGGAUCCGUGCCGUAGCUAACGCAUUAAGCGCCCCGCCUGGGGAGUACGGCCGCAAGGCUAAAACUCAAAGGAAUUGACGGGGGCCCGCACAAGCGGCGGAGCAUGUGGAUUAAUUCGAUGCAACGCGAAGAACCUUACCUGGGCUUGACAUAUACAGGAUCGCGCCAGAGAUGGUGUUUCCCUUGUGGCUUGUAUACAGGUGGUGCAUGGUUGUCGUCAGCUCGUGUCGUGAGAUGUUGGGUUAAGUCCCGCAACGAGCGCAACCCUUGUCUUAUGUUGCCAGCACGUUGUGGUGGGGACUCGUAAGAAACUGCCGGGGUUAACUCGGAGGAAGGUGGGGAUGACGUCAAAUCAUCAUGCCCCUUAUGUCCAGGGCUUCACACAUGCUACAAUGGUCGGUACAGUGGGUUGCCAGUCCGUGAGGGCGAGCUAAUCCCGCAAAGCCGGUCUCAGUUCGGAUCGGGGUCUGCAACUCGACCCCGUGAAGUCGGAGUCGCUAGUAAUCGCAGAUCAGCAACGCUGCGGUGAAUACGUUCCCGGGCCU